rnacentral:lncRNA from 1 species
AAAUUAAAACAUUUACGAAACAUAAAACUAAUCAUGCGUGCCAUCGUCAUCAUCUUCAUCCCCUUGGUUCCCUCGUUAUUGACUCCAUUAUCAUUUUGUGUCGAUAACAAUUUAAAGAAGUUUGCGAUUCUAUCUUCAUAUGUCGGGUCACUUAGCAUAACAUCAAGACGAUAUGGCUUCAAAGUAAAUAUGUACAUUAGAAAACUUAUAGUUUAAAUCAAUAAAGUAAAAUAAAAGGAAUUUUAAAACUAACAAUUAUCAAAAUAGCAACAAAGAGAAAAAUACAAAUUACCAAAUUAAAUGCUAAACUACCAAAAUAUCAACAUAAACCAAACUACCAAAAUACUAAACUAUCAAAGUAUUUGGAAGCCUUUACAAGUUCAUCAUACGAGUUCUUGCCAAUCUACUCAAAUUAGUUAUUGGUUCGGUGGUUAAAGAAUACCAAACGACUUUCUCAAAAAUCGGCAAACCACCGAAGGUCCACUCCUUGUAAAUGAGAUUAUCUAAUAUGCUAAAACAUACAAGAAAAGUUAAUUCUCUCUAAGUUUGGCUUCCGAAAAGCUUACGACUCCAUCAAUUCACGGUAUUUAGAUGGCAUACUUCAAGCUACCGACUUUGGAAAUAAAUAAAGAGCAUGGAUUCAAGCUUGCCUUACCUCCUCUAGAGCUUCCAUUCCAAUCAAUGGGUUUCUAACCAGAGAGUUCAAAAUGAAGAGUGGCCUUCGCCAAGGCGAUCCUCUUUCUCCAUUCAUUUUCCUUCUAGUCAUGGAAGGUCUCAAUAUGGCUUUUAAUGAGAGAGAGAGAGGUUUUAUCAAAGGUUUCCAAGUUGCAGACGAUGGGAUGUUUG